rnacentral:rRNA from 1 species
UUUGUGGAGAGUUUGAUCCUGGCUCAGGAUGAACGCUGGCGGCGUGCUUAACACAUGCAAGUCGAACGGAAAGGCCAGUGCUUGCACUGGUACUCGAGUGGCGAACGGGUGAGUAACACGUGGGUGAUCUGCCCUGUACUUCGGGAUAAGCUUGGGAAACUGGGUCUAAUACCGGAUAGGACAACUUUUUGGAUAUUGUUGUGGAAAGCUUUUGCGGUAUGGGAUGAGCUCGCGGCCUAUCAGCUUGUUGGUGGGGUAAUGGCCUACCAAGGCGUCGACGGGUAGCCGGCCUGAGAGGGUGUACGGCCACAUUGGGACUGAGAUACGGCCCAGACUCCUACGGGAGGCAGCAGUGGGGAAUAUUGCACAAUGGGCGCAAGCCUGAUGCAGCGACGCCGCGUGGGGGAUGAAGGCCUUCGGGUUGUAAACUCCUUUCGCUAGGGACGAAGCAUU